rnacentral:rRNA from 1 species
CCGGACCUGACUGCUAUCGGAUUGGUACUAAGCCAUGCGAGUCAUUGUAGCAAUACAAGGCGGACGGCUCAGUAACACGUAGUCAACCUAACUCGUGGACGUGGAUAACCUCGGGAAACUGAGAAUAAACCACGAUAGAUCAUAGUGCCUGGAAUGGCUUAUGGUCCAAACAGUUUACUGCCAUGGGAUGGGACUGCGGCCUAUCAGCUUGUUGGUGAGGUAAUGGCCCACCAAGGCGAUUACAGGUACGGGCUCUGAGAGGAGAAGCCCGGAGAUGGGUACUGAGACACGGACCCAGGCCCUAUGGGGCGCAGCAGGCGAGAAACCUUAGCAAUGUGCGAAAGCACGACUGGGUCAGUCCGAGUGAUUCCUGAUAAAGGAGUCUUUUGCCUGUCCCAAAAGCACAGGUGAAUAAGGGGUGGGCAAGUCUGGUGUCAGCCGCCGCGGUAAUACCAGCACCUCGAGUGGUCAGGACGUUUAUUGGGCCUAAAGCAUCCGUAGCCGGCUCUGCAAGUCUUCGGUUAAAUCCACCUGCUCAACAGAUGGGCCGCUGGAGAUACUACAGAGCUAGGGAGUGGGAGAGGCAGACGGUAUUCAGUGGGUAGGGGUAAAAUCCUCUGAUCCAUUGAGGACCACCAGUGGCGAAGGCGGUCUGCCAGAACACGUUCGACGGUGAGGGAUGAAAGCUGGGGGAGCAAACCGGAUUAGAUACCCGGGUAGUCCCAGCUGUAAACGAUGCAAACUCGGUGAUGCAUUGGCUUAUGGCCAAUGCAGUGCCGCAGGGAAGCCGUUAAGUUUGCCGCCUGGGAAGUACGGACGCAAGUCUGAAACUUAAAGGAAUUGGCGGGGGAGCACCACAAGGGGUGAAGCCUGCGGUUCAAUUGGAGUCAACGCCGGA